GACGAACGCUGGCGGCGUGCUUAACACAUGCAAGUCGAACGGAAAGGCCCUGCUUUUGUGGGGUGCUCGAGUGGCGAACGGGUGAGUAACACGUGAGUAACCUGCCCUUGACUUUGGGAUAACUUUAGGAAACUGGGGCUAAUACCGGAUAGGAGCUCCUGCUGCAUGGUGGGGGUUGGAAAGUUUCGGCGGUUGGGGAUGGACUCGCGGGUUAUCAGCUUGUUGGUGGGGUAGUGGCUUACCAAGGCUUUGACGGGUAGCCGGCCUGGGAGGGUGACCGGCCACAUUGGGACUGAGAUACGGCCCAGACUCCUACGGGAGGCAGCAGUGGGGAAUAUUGCACAAUGGGCCGAAGCCUGAUGCAGCAACGCCGCGUGCGGGAUGACGGCCUUCGGGUUGUAAACAGAUUUCGCCUGUGACGAAGCGUGAGUGACGGUAAUGGGUAAAGAAGCACCGGCUAACUACGUG
rnacentral:rRNA from 1 species